GAACCUUACCAGCUUUUGACAUGUCCGGUUUGAUCGGCAGAGAUGCCUUUCUUCAGUUCGGCUGGCCGGAACACAGGUGCUGCAUGGCUGUCGUCAGCUCGUGUCGUGAGAUGUUGGGUUAAGUCCCGCAACGAGCGCAACCCUCGCCCCUAGUUGCCAUCAUUCAGUUGGGAACUCUAGGGGGACUGCCGGUGAUAAGCCGCGAGGAAGGUGGGGAUGACGUCAAGUCCUCAUGGCCCUUACAGGCUGGGCUACACACGUGCUACAAUGGCGGUGACAAUGGGCAGCGAAGGAGCGAUCCGGUGCUAAUCCCAAAAAGCCGUCUCAGUUCAGAUUGCACUCUGCAACUCGAGUGCAUGAAGGUGG
rnacentral:rRNA from 1 species